UGAUCCUGGCUCAGGACGAACGCUGGCGGCGUGCCUAAUACAUGCAAGUCGAGCGGAUCUUCUUGAGAGCUUGCUCUCGAGAAGAUUAGCGGCGGACGGGUGAGUAACACGUAGGCCACCUGCCCCCAAGACCGGGAUAACAUUCGGAAACGAAUGCUAAGACCGGAUACGCAAGCGAGUGGCAUCACUUGCUUGGGAAACACGGUUUCGGCUGUGGCUUGGGGAUGGGCCUGCGGCGCAUUAGCUAGUUGGUGGGGUAACGGCUCACCAAGGCGACUAUGCGUAGCCGACCUGAGAGGGUGAACGGCCACACUGGGACUGAGACACGGCCCACACUCCUACGGGAGGCAGCAGUAGGGAAUCUUCCACAAUGGGCGGAAGCCUGAUGGAGCAACGCCGCGUGAGUGAGGAAGGCUUUCGGGUCGUAAAGCUCUGUUGCCAGGGAAGAAUAAGGGUGAGGUAACUACUCAUCCGAUGACGGUACCUGAGAAGAAAGCUCCGGCUAACUACGUGCCAGCAGCCGCGGUAAUACGUAGGGGGGCAAGCGUUGUCCGGAAUUAUUGGGCGUAAAGCGCGCGCAGGCGGCUCUUUAAGUCUGGUGUUUAAGUGCGGGGCUCACCCCGUGACACACUGGAAACUGGAGGGCUUUGAGUGCAGAAGAGGAGAGCGGAAUUCCCACGGGUAGCGGUGAAAUGCGUAGAGAUGUGAAGGAACACCAGUGGGGAGGGGGGCUCCUCUGGCCUGUAACCGACGUGAGGCGCGAAAGCGUGGGGAGCAAACAGGAUUAGAUACCCUGGGUAGUCCACGCGUAAACGAUGAGUGCUAGGUGUUGGGGGGGUCCACCCCCUCGGUGCCGAAGUUAACACAUUUAGCACUCCCGCCUGGGGAGUACCGGUCGCAAGACUGAAACUCAAAGGAAUUGACGGGGACCCGCACAAGCAGUGGAGUAUGUGGUUUAAUUCGAAGCAACGCGAAGAACCUUACCAGGUCUUGACAUCCCUCUGACCGGUGCAGAGAUGUACCUUUCCUUCGGGACAGAGGAGACAGGUGGUGCAUGGUUGUGGUCAGCUCGUGUCGUGAGAUGUUGGGUUAAGUCCCGCAACGAGCGCAACCCUUGAAUUUAGUUGCCAGCACUUCGGGUGGGCACUCUAGAUUGACUGCCGGUGACAAACCGGAGGAAGGCGGGGAUGACGUCAAAUCAUCAUGCCCCUUAUGACCUGGGGUACACACGUACUACAAUGGCCGGUACAACGGGCAGUGAAGGAGCGAUCCGGAACGAAUCCUUAAAAGCCGGUCUCAGUUCGGAUUGCAGGCUGCAACUCGCCUGCAUGAAGUCGGAAUUGCUAGUAAUCGCGGAUCAGCAUGCCGCGGUGAAUACGUUC
rnacentral:rRNA from 1 species